rnacentral:rRNA from 1 species
UACAGAGGUCCCGAGCGUUGUUCGGAUUCACUGGGCGUAAAGGGUGCGUAGGCGGUUCUGAAAGUCUGAUGUGAAAUCUCCAGGCCCAACCUGGAAACGGCAUUAGAAACUACAGGGCUAGAGGCUUGGAGGGGGAACUGGAAUGCUCGGUGUAGCAGUGAAAUGCGUAGAGAUCGAGACGGAACACCAGUGGCGAAGGCGGUCGUCCUGGGGCAUUCUUGACGCUGAGGCGCGAAAGCUGGGGGAGCGAACGGG